rnacentral:rRNA from 1 species
CGCGUAGGCGGGCCAUCAAGUCAGGGGUGAAAUCCUCCAGCUCAACUGGAGAACAGCUUUUGAUACUGGUGGUCUGGAGGGGGGUAGGGGCAUGUGGAACUUCCGGUGGAGCGGUGAAAUGCGUAGAUAUCGGAAGGAACGCCGGUGGCGAAAGCGACGUGCUGGACCCUUUCUGACGCUGAGGCGCGAAAGCCAGGGGAGCAAACG